AUCUGCUCAGGGCUGCUGCCGACUGUCGUGGAUAAAGAGGUCUUUAUGAAGCCUGAUUACAUUCUGAAGCCUGUGCCCGCAGCGUGUUAGGCUGUUGUUGUGUACACAAUUGGAGCUCUUUUUCCACAGAUUGCUGUUCCCGCCGUCCCUUUUCACGUCAGGGCUGCGUUUCGUCUGUAGUUCCACCUACUCUCAGCCCUUGGUGUUGUGGAACAGUGCGGAUUGAAGGACACUUUGCCCUCUGCCUUCUUGAAGGCAGAUGGGAUUCCCCUGAGGACCGGUGCAGAGGGGACGUCACUACUAAUGGAAGGCAGCACAGGGACACUGCCGUGUAUUUUCGAGGACACACUUCGCCUUUCCCAAUGCCUCUCCAACCUGCCAGUCCUGUGGGAGAACAUUUGGAUGCCGGGAGUGCCCGCGACGCCUGAUUUGCAAUGCCUCGGGGGCACAUGGCAAAUUGAUGGACGAUGACCGCCACUGUGAGGCCCAUGUUCACAUCUCGCUUCGAUGCAAGAAGGAGAAGAAGGAGGGGAAGAAAAAGGAGAAAUCAAUGCCGAGUGAUUCCGCUGUUGACCACCCAUCUCCCAGAGGGGAGUCACAGCCCCUCAAGUUUUGAUGCUCGAUGGGUUCUUAGAUACGAUCAAAGCGCCCUUUCUA
ensembl:lncRNA